rnacentral:rRNA from 1 species
ACCCGCUGAACUUAAGCAUAUCAAUAAGCGGAGGAAAAGAAACCAACAGGGAUUGCCCUAGUAACGGCGAGUGAAGCGGCAACAGCUCAAAUUUGAAAUCUGGCGUCUUCGGCGUCCGAGUUGUAAUUUGCAGAGGGCGCUUUGGCAUUGGCAGCGGUCCAAGUUCCUUGGAACAGGACGUCACAGAGGGUGAGAAUCCCGUACGUGGUCGCUAGCCUUUACCGUGUAAAGCCCCUUCGACGAGUCGAGUUGUUUGGGAAUGCAGCUCUAAAUGGGAGGUAAAUUUCUUCUAAAGCUAAAUACUGGCCAGAGACCGAUAGCGCACAAGUAGAGUGAUCGAAAGAUGAAAAGCACUUUGGAAAGAGAGUUAAAAAGCACGUGAAAUUGUUGAAAGGGAAGCGCUUGCAGCCAGACUUGCCUGUAGUUGCUCAUCCGGGUUUUUACCCGGUGCACUCUUCUAUAGGUAGGCCAGCAUCAGUUUGGGCGGUUGGAUAAAGGUCUCUGUCAUGUACCUCUCUUCGGGGAGAACUUAUAGGGGAGACGACAUGCAACCAGCCCGGACUGAGGUCCGCGCAUCUGCUAGGAUGCUGGCGUAAUGGCUGU